rnacentral:rRNA from 1 species
CAGCAGCCGCGGUAAUACGAAGGGGGCUAGCGUUGCUCGGAAUGACUGGGCGUAAAGGGCGCGUAGGCGGAUUGCGCAGUCAGAUGUGAAAUUCCUGGGCUUAACCUGGGGGCUGCAUUUGAGACGCGUAGUCUAGAGUGUGAAAGAGGGUCGUGGAAUUCCCAGUGUAGAGGUGAAAUUCGUAGAUAUUGGGAAGAACACCGGUGGCGAAGGCGGCGACCUGGUUCAUGACUGACGCUGAGGCGCGAAAGCGUGGGGAGCAAACAGGAUUAGAUACCCCGGUAGUCCCUGUCUCUUAUAA